CGGGGGCUACUGUCGGUGAUAUGGGACCGGGAGUAUCAUGACCAGAGGCUUGAGGCAGACGCAACCGCCCACGUGGCCUGGCACCUUCGGGGACGUCGGGCCCGAGGGUGCCAGGCCACGUGGGCGGUUGCGUCUGCCUCAAGCCUCUGGUCAUGAUACUCCCGGUCCCAUAUCACCGACAUAUAUGUUU
rnacentral:misc_RNA from 1 species